CCACAGUGAUUCUCAGAGCCAGCAAGAAGGAGAAAUGUCCCAAAAGGGAACAUCCGUCUCAGCCAUUUGCCUGGAGCUGAAGGUUGCGGGCUCCAGGCCUCUAGAAUGCAGACAGCCCUUCCAAGAGGCUUCCUGGUAUCUCGGGGACCCAUGAAGCUUCCGUAGAGAAUCCCAGACACAUUGCUUUGUGCUGUCGGUGUAGAUUCUGAGACUUAGAAUCUUGGGGUGUGAGUUUCCUCUUAUCAUCUGAAUUGGUCAAGACCGCACAGAAGUCCUACCCAUAAGCCCAUCAAUCAGAUAUCUGUUCCCUACAACGGACUCCUCCUGGUGGGAACUUCAAGGAGAUUUCGAGAAGGAGGUGGAAGGGUCAUUUUUUAUUACUGGGAUCUACAGGUUUCUAGCAGAAAGCUCUUAUUAACUCAUCUGACCCUCGAACAAUCCUCGAGGAGAACGAGAAGUCAAAUUGGCCAUGUUACAAAUGAGAGCGGCGCCUGGGUGGCUCAGUCGGUGGAGAGCCUGACCUCGGUUCGGGUCACGAUCUCAUGUUCAUGAGUUCGAGCCCCACGUCGGGCUCCCUGCUGUCAGAGCAGAGCCCGCUUUGGAUCCUCCUGUCUCCCUCUCUCUUUCAAAUCAAAUUUUUAAAAUUGCAAAUGAGAAAAUUGAGUGUUAGGAAAUUUAGCGGGUAGCACAGGUGGCAUUUGAACCCAGGUCUUUGGACCAUACCUCUUUUAUUGAAGUGGGGAAUCUGGA